rnacentral:rRNA from 1 species
UACGUAGGGGGCAAGCGUUGUCCGGAAUCAUUGGGCGUAAAGAGCGUGUAGGCGGCCCGAUAAGUCCGCUGUGAAAGUCCAGGGCUCAACCCUGGAAUGCCGGUGGAUACUGUCGGGCUCGAAUCCGGAAGAGGUGAGUGGAACUGCGAGUGUAGAGGUGAAAUUCGUAGAUAUUCGCAAGAACACCAGUGGCGAAGGCGGCUCACUGGUCCGGUUCUGACGCUGAGGCGCGAAAGCGUGGGGAGCAAACAGG